AUUGAACGCUGGCGGAAUGCUUUACACAUGCAAGUCGAACGGCAGCACGGACUUCGGUCUGGUGGCGAGUGGCGAACGGGUGAGUAAUGUAUCGGAACGUGCCCAGUCGUGGGGGAUAACGUAGUGAAAAUUACGCUAAUACCGCAUACGAUCUAUGGAUGAAAGCGGGGGAUCGCAAGACCUCGCGCGAUUGGAGCGGCCGAUAUCAGAUUAGGUAGUUGGUGGGGUAAAGGCCCACCAAGCCAACGAUCUGUAGCUGGUCUGAGAGGACGACCAGCCACAAUGGAACGGAGACACGGUCCAGACUCCUACGGGAGGCAGCAGUGGGGAAUUUUGGACAAUGGGCGAAAGCCUGAUCCAGCCAUGACGCGUGCAGGAUGAAGGCCCUCGGGUUGUAAACUGCUUUUGUACAGAACGAAAAGGUUUCUACUAAUACUAGGAGCUCAUGACGGUACUGUAAGAAUAAGCACCGGCUAACUACGUGCCAGCAGCCGCGGUAA
rnacentral:rRNA from 1 species